rnacentral:rRNA from 1 species
UACGGAGGAUGCGAGCGUUAUCCGGAUUUAUUGGGUUUAAAGGGUGCGUAGGCGGAUCGUUAAGUCAGUGGUCAAAUUGAGGGGCUCAACCCCUUCCCGCCAUUGAAACUGGCGAUCUUGAGUGGAAGAGAAGUAUGCGGAAUGCGUGGUGUAGCGGUGAAAUGCAUAGAUAUCACGCAGAACCCCGAUUGCGAAGGCAGCAUGCCAGCUUCCUACUGACGCUGAAGCACGAAAGCGUGGGGAUCGAACAGG